UACAGCUGUGCAAAGCUAAAUCUUCUUUUUCAAAUUUUGAAUUUCCUUUAUAACGGAAUCAAAUGAACGUUUGAAGAAGAAGAAGAACGUAAAAAAAUCUCUCUCAUUUUCCUGAAACCCUAAAUUUUUCAUUUUGCAUAAUGUCUUUAGAAGUUGAGUACCGAUACUUUUUUUUUCCGGCGGUCAAACACUAGAAAGGGCGUGUUCUCUCAGUUCGGCUACGGUUAUCGAUUCUAAGAUCGCGAGAAUUGGGGAAUAUCAAGGGGAUUCUGAUUCGUGAUCUCCAAGGACAAUAAAUCCUCCAUGUGAUGCUAUCAAAGAGAUCAUCGGGAAAGAACUUGAUGGCCGUAGCUUCAACGUGAACGUGGUGGUUGGUAAUGGAAGAUAAAAAAUGGUUUUGUGCUGCUCUGUUUUUGGUUUAGAUUUGUUCUGCAUCAUUGUGGCUCCGGUUUGUUUCUUGUUCUUGUUCUUAUGGUUUACUUUUUUGAUGUUGCAGAUCAUUUAAAGUCUUCUUUGCUUGAAGAAAAGAGACAUGUACUGAUACACACAUACCAAAAUGCACACAUGCAUUCAUGCAUACAUACAUGGAUUCUUUGAUUACUUCAUCACUUCUGCUUUCAUUUCUUGCUUGCUUCUUGGUUUUCGUUCUUCAUUCUUUGAUUUGUUUUUAUUUCCUAGUUCCUUCUUUGCUUACUUAUUUUAUGCUUUCUAUGCUUGUACACAUUCAUAUUUGCUUCUCUGUUUCUUUGAUUUGUUGUUUACUCACUUGAUUCCUUGAUUCAUUGUCUGAUCCUUUGUUUACUUAUUUUUUCUUUCGUUCCUUACUUACAUGCUUACUCUUUUCUUCAUUAUUUGCUUAUUGGUUUGUUUGUUACUUCCUUGUGUCCUUGUUUGGUUAAUUAAUUACUUGCUUCUGUAUUUUCUUCCUUAAUUCCUUGGCUAAUUUGCUUCAUUGUUUCCUAUCUUACAUGCUUAAUUUCUCUGUCAUUCUUCCUUAAUUCCUUGGCUAAUUUGCUUCAUUGUUUCCUAUCUUACAUGCUUAAUUUCUCUGUCAUUCUUCCUUAAUUCCUUAGUUAAUUUGCUUCCUUGUUUCCUUGCUUACAUACACGCAUACAUGGAUUCUUUGUUUGAUUUAUCAUUUCUACUUCCAUUCCUUGCUUGCUUGUUCACUUUCUUCUCUGAUUUGUUUUCUACAUACAUACAUCUAUGCAUACUUGCUUGUACACAUUCAUAUUUGCUUCUCUGUCUCUUUGAUUUGUUGUUUGUUUACUCACUUGCUUCCUUGUUUACAUACUUGUUACAUGCAUAUAUACAUACAUUUAUGCAUACUUGCUUGUACACAUUCAUAUUUUCUUCUCUGUUUAUGUGGUUUGUUGUUUGUUUACUCACUUGUUUCCUUAAUUCAUUGUUUGAUCCUCUGUUUACUUCCUUGCGUCCUUGCCUGCUUCCUUAAUUCUUUGCUUGCUUACUUACUUCUGUAUUGUGGUCCUUAAUUCAUUGGUUAUUUUGCUUCCUUGAUUACACACUUACUUUCUUACAUAUUGUCUUUCUUCCUUAACUGUUGAACUAUUUUUUUUUUUUACUUUACAUUAUAUCCUUAAAUUGCUUCCUUUCAUUAUACUCCCUGCUGUUAUAAGCGUCUCUGACACUAUAAGUGAGGAUCGUUUUGAUGUUAAACAUGGAAGUGAAGAGUGGUACAAGAAAUUGGAUCUCCAUUUUAAGUGACUUUUUUUUAGUAUCGGAUCAGUCCAUACUUUUGCAAAUGGGGUGAAGGCAUGCGUGUCUUGACAUACAACUCACCACGACCUGACGAUCAUCUGAAAUCGGAUGAAUACAUCUCUGAUCCAAGGCUUGCGGAUUAUGAAGUACCAUGUAGACAAGUUAUAGCAGGGGAUGAUUCAAGGAAAGUUACAUGUGGAAAGAAGUUAAGAUAUUGAGGAGUAAACCCCAUAGCCACUGAAUAUGGAUCACUUUGAUAGCCUUCGCUAGAUGGCCAAUGAAAAUUUUGCCUAUUCAAGCAUAACAAGGAUACAUAAUCAAGAGAGAGAUACAUUGAGUCCAAGCUUCAGGCCUAGAAACAGGAAUCAGUUACCAUUGAUGCUUAUCCCAAUGUUUGUGGUAACCAUAAAAGCAAAUAUAACAUGGCAAGUGGUUUGCGUCAGAUCAGAUGUUUUAAUCUUUUGAGGAGGUAGCACAUGAAUGUCAUUUUUGUCAUUGUUGCGAGCGCUCUUUUACAGCUGAAGAAGAGGAUAUAGCUUUGUUAAUAAGCAAAGGAAUACCACAAAGGGUAAAGGCUUCAAGCACGGGGGAACAUCUUAACGUAUUAGCAGUGGAAUCUUCCUAUGCUCACUAUGUAUUUCAGCAGCUAGAAAAACUACAGGCAGUUUUUGAAGAAUACUCUAAACUAACAAGGAAGUUAUUCCUCUCGCUGAGAAAACUUUGCAAGACCUCUGAAUGAUGUAUUAGAAAUCUCUGCCCAGACAAAAGCUGGCAAAGACUCAAUUGAAGCACUGGUGCAACCCCUGGAAAAUGCUGGCAGGAUCUUACAGGAAAUCGUAUCCUACCAAAAGCAAAUUGAAGAUCUUGAAUAUAAGCUCGAUUUCAGGGGUCUUUGGGCUAAAACUAUGGAAGAAAUCCAAUCAGAACUAAGUACCCUCCAUAGCAGCAAGGAUAAACUGCACGAUGAGAUGACCAGAUUUACAUAGAACGUGAUAUAUCAUGCCUCUAGGGAAGGUGGCAUGCAGUAAGGGAGGAGAAGGUUAAGGCUCGUGUUAUGACUACAUAAUAUUGUGCCUACCGAGAUGGGUCUCGAAGAGAUUGAAAACAGUAGGAUCUACUGUAAAACAAGAAACUAUAUCUCAGUUAAAGAGCUCUGUAUGGAAAGAAAAACUUGAAGGAACUUUGGUUGUGAAAGAAGAGACAUGAGGUUUACAAGAACUAGACAAGUCAAUGGAAAUCUUGUCCGGUUUAUUGUGUUCAGUUCCUGGUGGGAAGGAGAAAAAUGGGCAGGUUCAUCAACAAGUCAUUGAAAUCAUCACUGACAUAUCUUCGACUGCGGAAAAGUUUCUAAGAAGUGUGUCGUACUUUGCAUUACAGGCACUAGUGAUCGAGAUGAAGAUAUAAGACGCUAGCCUCUGCUAUGAAGUGCCCUAUUGCUUUCUGCAAAGCAGUUGGUCCUGAUUUGUUUCGAGAGGCUUUACAAAAUCAUGAAAGAGAACAAGAAUCCCAAGGUUUUUAGUGAAGGCUUGUUGUGGAUGGCUUCGGUAAUUGAUGACUUUGGUGUCUCACUUCUAAAAACUUUAAGAUAUUAGGAAGGAUGUUGUGAUGCAAUCUAAUAUAGCUGCCACCAGAAAUUCUAGAAUCAAACUUUUGGGUGCUUUAAACAAGUUUAAUGGUUCAGGUGACUAUGAAUUCCAUAAUGAAAGGUUCCGUAAUGAUGUCAAACAUGCACUACUAAGUGAACUUGAAGCUAAAUGGGACUGCGGCUCCAAAUAGAGUUGUAUUAAGACGUCUGUUUCAACAUCAACUUAUGCCGUGGAGGUCAGUAGCAAGAUUAGCCUAUUCCUCUUAAGGGAUAUGAGAGUCCUGAUUGGAAGAUGCGUUUGGAGUAAAUCGAAGCCGUAAAUAUAAUUCUACAGAAGCUAAUAAACGUUGACUACCAUUGGAGGUGUUGUAAUAGCUAUGGGACCAGCUAUCGAGAAGGCGAGCAAGGAAUGUCCCAGGGACAACUUGAGGCAGAUGAGAGAAUGCACCUUGACUGCUUGUGAUUCAUUUCUUGGUGUUGCUUGCUGGAUUAAUUGACUUGGUGGACUGGAUGCCAAACAUUUCUGAAACCUGCAAGCACCGUAAUGAUGGAAAAAUCAGCAAAUGUGUGAGAAAGAGCGGAAUGAUGCAUGACAGAGAUCUUGAGAGUCAGUGGACAAAAAACUAUUGGAAAGAAUAUCAGAGAUAUCUCAGGCUUAGUACUAGCUCUUGUGCUUGACAAAGUAAGACCAAGAUUUAUUCACGGGCCAGAGUGUUAAAAGGUGUUUCAAAGAUUUCAAAAUCAACUUCUAAUGGUAAACUGAAGCAAGGAAAUAGAGGUAUAACACUUAAAGAUGCAAGAGAUCAAAUUCAAAGUAUGGAAUCGUAUUCUCGAAGAGUUGGGAGAGGCAAGAAUUUCUUUAUGCUUCAUUUUAAGGUCUUUGAAGAGUCAGGUAAAAUCUAUGUCUCUCUUCUCAGGGUAAAAAAGUUAACACAAACACCGAACACACAAACAACAACAACAACUCACGAAAACUCACAACACAAUCACAGAAGAAUCGACAAAAAUUCCACAAACUAGAACUUCACAUGCCACGAAACACAACACAAAAAUCGACAGAAACUCCACAAACUAAAAACUUCGCAUGCCACCAAACACAACACAAAAAUAGACAAAAACAAACAAAACCCACACAAAUUAAAAUCUUCAUAUGCCACGAAAUCCAACAAAUUCACCAUCACCUGAAACAAGAGUCUCAAGGGUAAUAACGUCAAAUAUUUUCUUUCUAAUUUACUAGAGUUUAAUGCUGUCUAUUUAUAAUGCCAAUAACAAUUCAUAAAAAUUUAUGCAUGAUUUUAAUGCUAUAUUGGCUCAUUUUAAUACAUUUUUUCCUCCUAAGUACUUUACAACAUGUCACAAUAUUACUUUAUUUUUCUCGAUGUGAUUCAGUGUUUGUAACAUUGUUAUUAUUAUUUUUUUAUUAUUUUUGGUGAUAUUAGUUGAUGAAACAGUUGUAAAAUUAACUUCUCUGGAUGUAGGAUUUUUUUGUAA